GUGUCAGCAGCCGCGGUAAUACGGAGGGUGCGAGCGUUGCUCGGAAUCAUUGGGCGUAAAGCGUACGCAGGCGGUUCGUUAAGUCGGGUGUGAAAGCCCGGGGCUCAACCCCGGAAUAGCGCCCGAUACUGGCGAGCUUGAGUGCGGGAGAGGGAAGCGGAAUUCUGGGUGUAGAGGUGAAAUUCGUAGAUAUCCAGAGGAACACCGGUGGCGAAAGCGGCUUCCUGGCCCGACACUGACGCUCAUGUACGAAAGCGUGGGGAGCAAACAGGAUUAGAAACCCUAGUAGUCC
rnacentral:rRNA from 1 species